CUUUGAUUAUGGCUCAGGAUGAACGCUAGCUACAGGCUUAACACAUGCAAGUCGAGGGGAAGCGACAUCGAAAGCUUGCUUUUGAUGGGCGUCGACCGGCGCACGGGUGAGUAACGCGUAUCCAACCUGCCCACCACUUGGGGAUAACCUUGCGAAAGUAAGACUAAUACCCAAUGAUAUCUCUAGAAGACAUCUGAAAGAGAUUAAAGAUUUAUCGGUGAUGGAUGGGGGUGCGUCUGAUUAGCUUGUUGGCGGGGUAACGGCCCACCAAGGCAACGAUCAGUAGGGGUUCUGAGAGGAAGGUCCCCCACAUUGGAACUGAGACACGGUCCAAACUCCUACGGGAGGCAGCAGUGAGGAAUAUUGGUCAAUGGACGAGAGUCUGAACCAGCCAAGUAGCGUGCAGGAUGACGGCCCUAUGGGUUGUAAACUGCUUUUAUAAGGGAAUAAAGUGAGUCUCGUGAGACUUUUUGCAUGUACCUUAUGAAUAAGGACCGGCUAAUUCCGUGCCAGCAGCCGCGGUAAUACGGAAGGUCCGGGCGUUAUCCGGAUUUAUUGGGUUUAAAGGGAGCGUAGGCCGGAGAUUAAGCGUGUUGUGAAAUGUAGACGCUCAACGUCUGCACUGCAGCGCGAACUGGUUUCCUUGAGUACGCACAAAGUGGGCGGAAUUCGUGGUGUAGCGGUGAAAUGCUUAGAUAUCACGAAGAACUCCGAUUGCGAAGGCAGCUCACUGGAGCGCAACUGACGCUGAAGCUCGAAAGUGCGGGUAUCGAACAGGAUUAGAUACCCUGGUAGUCCGCACGGUAAACGAUGGAUGCCCGCUGUUGGUCUGAAUAGGUCAGCGGCCAAGCGAAAGCAUUAAGCAUCCCACCUGGGGAGUACGCCGGCAACGGGGCAACUCAAAGGAAUUGACGG
rnacentral:rRNA from 1 species